rnacentral:rRNA from 1 species
CCUACGGGGGGCUGCAGUCGAGAAUUUUUCUCAAUGGGGGAAACCCUGAAGGAGCGACGCCGCGUGGAGGAUGAAGGGCUUCGGCUUGUAAACUCCUGUCAUUUGGGAACAAUGCCCCGAAGUUAACUGCUUCGGGGUUGAUAGUACCAGAAGAGGAAGAGACGGCUAACUCUGUGCCAGCAGCCGCGGUAAUACAGAGGUCUCAAGCGUUGUUCGGAUUCAUUGGGCGUAAAGGGUGCGUAGGUGGCGCGCUAAGUCAGGUGUGAAAUUUCGGAGCUCAACUCCGAAACUGCAUUUGAUACUGGCGUGCUUGAGGACUGGAGAGGAGACUGGAAUUCACGGUGUAGCAGUGAAAUGCGUAGAUAUCGUGAGGAAGACCAGUGGCGAAGGCGGGUCUCUGGACAGUUCCUGACACUGAGGCACGAAGGCCAGGGGAGCAA